rnacentral:tRNA from 1 species
GCCAGAAUGGUGUAGUGGUUUGAACGUUGGACUAGGACUCUGGAGACCAGGGUUCGAAUCCUGGCUCAGCCA